rnacentral:rRNA from 1 species
UACAGAGGUCUCAAGCGUUUGUUCGGAUUCAUUGGGCGUAAAGGGUGCGUAGGCGGCGCGGUAAGGUCGGGUGUGAAAUCAUUGGAGCUUAACUCCGAAACUGCAUUCGAUACUGCCGUGCUUGAGGACUGGAGAGGAGACGUGGAAUUUACGGUGUAGCGGUGAAAUGCGUAGAUAUCGUAAGGAAGACCAGUGGCGAAGGCGGGUCU